rnacentral:lncRNA from 1 species
AAAGCUCAAAUGCAGAGGAGUGCAAGAGAUCUGACUGCAAACCAGAGACCCCAAGAAUCCAGCCAAGUGCCUGGAUCCCACAGCAAUAUUCUGCACAACUGAAGGCCAAGAGUUCAAGGCAACGUCUUCCAUGAGUCCAGCCAGAGGCCUAGAGCUCACAGCAAUGUCCCAUGCUUGUCUGUAUUAAGUAUCUGCACCCAGAAGGCCCAAAGGCCAGUGGUGGAAGCCAGAAAACCUGCACCAGUGGGGUGAAGGAUUUGUGCCACCAGGCCGAGGGAUCUACAUUGAGGCCAGAAGUAGCAUUCACAGUGAAUAUCAGAGCUUCCCUAACAAGAACAGCAUCCGUUCCCAGGGAUAGCAAGGACCUGAGCUCCUCCUCUGACAAAAACAGCUAUGUUUACAUCAUAUAAACUAACCACAGCAAGCUUCACCUAGAAAAUCAACAGCCCAAGAAUUCCCCUCUAAUUCUUUUUAUGCCACUGGCAACAAUCACCAGUGGGAAUGAAUGGGGUAACCUCGGCUCCUCCCAGUUGUCGUCUGUGUUUCUCCAAGUGGGAGCACCUCCCCAUGUCAGGCCCUGUUCAAAUUCACUUUCAUCAUAUACCUCCUGGAAAAAAGAGCUCUCCUGGAAGGAACAGGCAGAAAAUUUUAUCCAACCAUCAAUGAGUGGAAAAGAAGACCUCAGGUUCUUUGGGAACCUUCUGCUGAAGCAGCUGUAG